rnacentral:tRNA from 1 species
GGGGGUAUAGCUCAGUGGUAGAGCAUUUGACUGCAGAUCAAGAGGUUCUCAGUUCAAAUCUGGGUGCCCCCU